UACAUGGGGUGCAAGCGUUACUCGGAAUCACUGGGCGUAAAGGGCGCGUAGGCGGUUUGAUAAGUCUGAUGUGAAAGCCCCGAACUCAAUUCGGGAAGUGCAUUGGAUACUGUCAGACUAGAGUAUAGGAGAGGUGAGCGGAAUUCCUGGUGUAGAGGUGAAAUUCGUAGAUAUCAGGAGGAACAACAGCGGCGAAGGCGGCUCACUGGACUAUAACUGACGCUGAGGCGCGAAAGCGUGGGGAGCAAACAGG
rnacentral:rRNA from 1 species